GAUGCAGCGACGCCGCGUGAGUGAAGAAGUAUCUCGGUAUGUAAAGCUCUAUCAGCAGGGAAGAAAAUGACGGUACCUGACUAAGAAGCCCCGGCUAACUACGUGCCAGCAGCCGCGGUAAUACGUAGGGGGCAAGCGUUAUCCGGAUUUACUGGGUGUAAAGGGAGCGUAGACGGCGACGCAAGUCUGGAGUGAAAGCCCGGGGCCCAACCCCGGGACUGCUUUGGAAACUGUGCUGCUGGAGUGCAGGAGAGGUAAGUGGAAUUCCUAGUGUAGCGGUGAAAUGCGUAGAUAUUAGGAGGAACACCAGUGGCGAAGGCGGCUUACUGGACUGUAACUGACGUUGAGGCUCGAAAGCGUGGGGAGCAAACAGGAUUAGAUACCCUGGUAGUCCACGCCGUAAACGAAGAGUGCUAGGUGUCGGGGGGCAAAGCCCUUCG
rnacentral:rRNA from 1 species